rnacentral:rRNA from 1 species
AUUGAACGCUGGCGGCGUGCCUAACACAUGCAAGUCGAGCGGAGAUAAUAGCAAUAUUAUCUUAGCGGCGGACGGGUGAGUAACGCGUGGGCAACCUGCCUAACACAGGGGGAUAACACAGGGAAACUUGUGCUAAUACCGCAUAACGCAACGAGAGGACAUCCUCAUGUUGCCAAAGGAGCAAUCCGGUGAUAGAUGGGCCCGCGUCCAAUUAGCUAGUUGGUGAUGUAACGGACCACCAAGGCGACGAUUGGUAGCCGAACUGAGAGGUUGACCGGCCACAUUAGGACUGAGACACGGCGCAGACUCCUACGGGAGGCAGCAGUGGGGAAUAUUGCACAAUGGGGGAAACCCUGAUGCAGCAACGCCGCGUGAAGGAUGAAGGUUUUCGGAUUGUAAACUUCUUUAGUCAGGGACGAAAAAAUGACGGUACCUGAAGAAUAAGCCACGGCUAACUACGUGCCAGCAGCCGCCGUAACAC